rnacentral:rRNA from 1 species
UACGUAGGGGGCAAGCGUUGUCCGGAAUCAUUGGGCGUAAAGCGCGUGUAGGCGGCCCGAUAAGUCCGCUGUGAAAGUCCAGGGCUCAACCCUGGGAUGCCGGUGGAUACUGUCGGGCUCGAGUCCGGAAGAGGAGUGUGGAAUUCCUGGUGUAGCGGUGGAAUGCGCAGAUAUCAGGAGGAACACCAAUAGCGAAGGCAGCUCGCUGGGACGGUACUGACGCUGAGGUGCGAAAGCGUGGGGAGCAAACAGG